rnacentral:rRNA from 1 species
UACGGGGGGAGCAAGCGUUGUUCGGAUUUACUGGGCGUAAAGGGCGCGUAGGCGGUCGUGACAAGUCACUUGUGAAAUCUCCGGGCUUAACUCGGAACGGUCAAGUGAUACUGUCGGACUAGAGUACAGAAGGGGCAACUGGAAUUCUCGGUGUAGCGGUGAAAUGCGCAGAUAUCGGGAGGAACACCAGUAGCGAAGGCGGCUCGCUGGGCCAUUCCUGACGCUGAGACGCGAAAGCUAGGGGAGCGAACGAGGAUUAUGAU